ACAACAACAAUAACAAGCAAUGCCCCACACAAUAAGAACAAGACGUAACGACUCCAGAACAACAAAAACAACAAGGACGGAGGCGCAGCUAACUGAUUCUUUUGGAGAGGAGUUGCCGCAAGGGGUUCUGCCCCUGCAACCAGACCGAGAACAACAAAACUGCCUUCAGGCAGCACCCGAACUGGUUGAUUAAUGGCAGCAUCAGCGUCCAAAGAAAUCCGUUUGCUAUUGGCUCCCCACUCUAGGGAGCACCCGGUGAGCCACGGCGAGCCGGGAAGGGCCAAACAACAAGAACAACAGGCCCUCAAUAACAACAAAAACAAAGCACGCACCAACUUGGGGGGGAGCUUCGGCUCCCCCAGUAGCUUCCGCUCCACGGAUCCCCGCCUGCCGCUUU
rfam:Pseudomonas mendocina ymp, complete genome.